GGCUGAGUCAGGAGUCGCCAGCCAGACACAGAGGAAGCAUGAUGUGAAAGUCCGCCAUUGUCUGGAGCACUUCUUUUAGAGGCGGAUCCUUGUGAGAUUUCUCCUAUCCACACUGGUACAUCAGCUGGUAUACUCCUUGUUCAAGUCUUGCUAAGGGAACCAGACUUUUGAGAAUUCAAGGAUGCAGCUUCCUGGAUGAAUGAUCUCUGAAUAUUAUUUUCACACCUGCCACAAGGAUAAGAAUAACUGACCAAAGUUGGAAGCGGUUGAGGAUCAACGUCUUACAAAGGCCUUCCUGGGGAUGUUUUCAUGUCUGUGUCUGACAGCUAAAAGAAGCAGGCUCAAUUGUCUCCCAGCUCUACUGUGUCUAUGAGAGCUCAGGGUGGGACUGGGCUCUGCAGGCACAUGAAUAACAACAGCUGAAGUAAACCUCACUCCUGUCUGCUACACCUGGGAGGAGCGUGAAAACACAUCCCAGGAAUUCUGUGUUUUGGAGAGAUUGAGGUCGGAAGACUUGUUUUCUUGGUUUUCUCGCACUCAGAAUUCUUACAUGAUUUCAUCCUUAGACUGUGUUCUGACAUUGAAGAACAGAAGGAAGCUCAGGACUCCUUACACCAAGUCUAAACAACUUCUAGGAGUAUAUAAUAUUUUUUAGGAAGUGUUUUUCAGAGGAUUUCUAAAAUACUGAAGAUAUCAAGAAA